UACAGGGGGGGCAAGCGUUGUUCGGAAUUACUGGGCGUAAAGGGCUCGUAGGCGGCCAACUAAGUCCGACGUGAAAUCCCAAAGCUUAACUUUGGAACUGCGUCGGAUACUGGAUGGCUUGAAUUCGGGAGAGGGAUGCAGAAUUCCAGGUGUAGCGGUGAAAUGCGUAGAUAUCUGGAGGAAUACCGGUGGCGAAGGCGGCAUCCUGGACCGACAUUGACGCUGAGGCGCGAAAGCUAGGGGAGCAAACGGG
rnacentral:rRNA from 1 species